CUACCCACUCCUACGGGAGGCAGCAGUGGGGAAUAUUGCACAAUGGGCGCAAGCCUGAUGCAGCCAUGCCGCGUGUAUGAAGAAGGCCUUCGGGUUGUAAAGUACUUUCAGCAGUGAGGAAGGUGGGUAUGUUAAUAGCAUAUUCAUUUGACGUUAGCUGCAGAAGAAGCACCGGCUAACUCCGUGCCAGCAGCCGCGGUAAUACGGAGGGUGCGAGCGUUAAUCGGAAUUACUGGGCGUAAAGCGCAUGCAGGUGGUUUGUUAAGUCAGAUGUGAAAGCCCGGGGCUCAACCUCGGAAUUGCAUUUGAAACUGGCAAACUAGAGUACUGUAGAGGGGGUAGAAUUUCAGGUGUAGCGGUGAAAUGCGUAGAGAUCUGAAGGAAUACCGGUGGCGAAGGCGGCCCCCUGGACAGAUACUGACACUCAGAUGCGAAAGCGUGGGGAGCAAACAGGAUUAGAUACCCUGGUAG
rnacentral:rRNA from 1 species